rnacentral:rRNA from 1 species
AUGGCACCGGGGAACUCCAGUGUAUAUGUUAAUGGGGAAAGGAGGCUCUCGAAUAUUAUUUGGAAGGCUAAUGUACCUCUGAAGAUUAGAAUCUUUGCUUGGAGGGCUGCAUCUAAUAGCCUAGCCGUACAAGUUAACAGAGCAAAACACCAUCAAGCUAUCCUAGGUACGUGCUCAAUCUGUGGUGUUGAAGAUGAAUGUGUUUUUCAUGCUUUGGUAUGCUGUCCCAGGGUACGUGCAUUCCGUAUGGAUUUUAGAGAGGUGUGGAAUUUACUGGAUGAAGACAUUUUAAACAGUUCGGGCCCGGACUGGUUACUUAUUUUAUUGGAUCAGUUAAGUUCACCUAUGCGUGAGCAAACAAUUCUCAUGUUCUGGAGAGCUUGGCAUUUGAGAAAUGACUUGAUUUUUGGUAAAGGAAAGGAAUCU